GUUCUCUUCCAAAGAAGCUGGUCCUUAGCCUGUAUUGCGGAGCAAGCUUUCGGCGACCAGCUGGACCCUGGGCACCCUUCUUCGAACAAUGGCUUUUAAUUCUCAGACUAGAACGUUUAGGAUUACAAAAGAAACUGGUUCUUUUCACAUUCUUAUUCUUGUGAUGUAGCAUUCCGCAUAUAUAUAUAUAUAUAUAUAUAUAUAUAUAUAUAUAUGUAUCCAACUAUCCUAAAAGACACUACCCUUCAUCAUUCCAUGCCAUUAGACAUGUAUAGGACCAUGCAUGGUGAUCUCCUCCAGACAAAAGUAAAUGCUGGUGCAGAACAGGAUUUCCUUUUUAUCACUGGUUUUGAUGGAUUUGAUUAAGGCGUUCCUUGGUGAAGUUUUCUUCAUGUUUCUUGUUCUUAGAAUAAUCAUAUUUCUGUAAUAUUUGAAGUUUAUGGUUUCCAUGGAGCUUCUAAAUCUUUCAUCCAGUAUGUUUUAAAUAUCUUUGUCUCUCUUCUCCACUACACGCCCUUCAGGGAUUCCAUUUAGCCCU
ensembl:lncRNA LINC01719 long intergenic non-protein coding RNA 1719